rnacentral:rRNA from 1 species
UACAUGGGGUGCAAACGUUGCUCGGAUUUACUGGGCGUAAAGGGCGCGUAGGCGGUCAGCACAAGUCAGUUGUGAAAUCUCCGGGCUUAACUCGGAAAGGUCAACUGAUACUGUGCGACUAGAGUGCAGAAGGGGCAACUGGAAUUCUCGGUGUAGCGGUGAAAUGCGUAGAUAUCGAGAGGAACACCUGCGGCGAAGGCGGGUUGCUGGGCUGACACUGACGCUGAUGCGCGAAAGCCAGGGGAGCGAACGGG